UCUAUUAAAUAACGACUUCAUAAGAGAACAUAAUGUGCUACUUAUUUGUUGCCACUGCAAAGGCGGUUGCAUCCCAACACACAAUACGGUUAUAAAGCGGUUCGAAAGAAAACAUGGAAAAACCACAUAUAAUGUUCAUUACCAACUAUUAAUAUGAGCAACUGAAAAAAUUAUGCAUAUCUUUUGAAAAUGUAUGUUAAAUUUAAGUUUCUA